rnacentral:rRNA from 1 species
UGAGGAAUAUUGGUCAAUGGUCGGGAGACUGAACCAGCCAAGCCGCGUGAGGGAUGAAGGUACAGAGUAUCGUAAACCUCUUUUGUCAGGGAACAAAAGGCGCCACGUGUGGCCGCUCCGAGUGUACCUGAAGAAAAAGCAUCGGCUAACUCCGUGCCAGCGAGCCGCGGUAAUACGGAGGAUGCGAGCGUUAUCCGGAUUUAUUGGGUUUAAAGGGUGCGUAGGCGGCGAGUUAAGUCAGCGGUAAAAGCCCGGGGCUCAACCCCGGCCCGCCGUUGAAACUGGCUUGCUUGAGUUGGAGAGAAGUAGGCGGAAUGCGCGGUGUAGCGGUGAAAUGCUUAGAUAUCGCGCAGAACUCCGAUUGCGAAGGCAGCCUACCGGCUCCAGACUGACGCUGAGGCACGAAAGCGUGGGGUAUCGAACAGGAUUAGAUACCC